rnacentral:tRNA from 1 species
GCGCGCGUGGCGGAACUGGCAGACGCGUCGGGUUUAGGUCCCGGUACUUCGGUGUGGGGGUUCAAGUCCCUCCGCGCGCACCA